rnacentral:rRNA from 1 species
CGCAGCCGCGGUAAUUCCAGCUCCAAUAGCGUAUAUUAAAGUUGUUGCAGUUAAAAAGCUCGUAGUUGAAUUUCGGGAUCAAUAUAUCGGUCGUGCCUUUGGUACGUACUGGUAUCAUUGAUUUCUCCUUUCUGACGAAUCAUGAUGUCAUUAAUUUGGUGUUAUGAGGAGUUAGGACAUGUUACUUUGAAAAAAAUUAGAGUGUUUAAAGCAGGCAUUAGCUUGAAUACAUUAGCAUGGAAUAAUGAAAUAGGACGUUUGACCCUAUUUUGUUGGUUUUUAGGAUCGACGUAAUGAUUAAUAGGGAUAGUUGGGGGCAUUAGUAUUCAAUUGUCAGAGGCGAAAUUCUUGGAUUUAUUGAAGACUAACUACUGCGAAAGCAUUUGCCAAGGAUGUUUUCAUUAAUCAAGAACGAAAGUUAGGGGAUCGAAGACGAUCAGAUACCGUCGUAGUCUUAACCAUACACUAUGCCGACUAGGGAUCGGAUGAUGUUAAUUUUUUAAUGACUCAUUCGGCGCCU